UCUAGGGUUUUCGUUUUGAAUUUUUGAAUUUGAUCCCAACAAUCUUUCAAUUCAAUCCAUAUGUAUAUGUUUUUUGCUCGAUUUGGAUGUUUGAUCUAAUUCUUGGCAUAGGAUUUGAUUAAAUUUGCUGUUCCAGCUUUGUCUGUGAUGGCGUAGAUAGCCCCUGUGUUCGCAAAUUCAAUCAAGUGUUAUGCAGCAUGGUAAGCUGCCGUCCUGGGUUGAAAGUUUUGACCCCUUAUUCAUCUGAAGAUGCUCAUGGACUGCUAAAAGCUGCCAUUAGGGACCCUGAUCAUGUUGUUUUUCUUGAAAAUGAGUUGCUGUAAGUAGAUAUCAUUUUCAGGUAUCUAGGCUUCUAAGCUAAGACUUGCUUGGUAAAGCUUUUACUUUUGAACUUAAAAAAAAAAAUUGUGAGAUAAACUUGGUAUGCAGGAAAGAUUCUCACAAUAGUCUCUGUAGUAGUUUGACUGCAAAGAAGCAAGGUGUGAUAACCGGGGAAAAAGAGGAAACUAAAUGACGAUUUGUUAAAAGUUUGAACGAAACAGGACGGAUGAAAAUCUGCUCAAGUUAAUUUGGUUUCAGUACAAUUUCACAAAGUUUAUGUGAUCUGUGGGAUUUAUUAGACUAUUUGUUAGUCAUUACCCAGGGUCAGGGUGUGACAAAAUGGUAUCAAAGCGGGGAUUAGAAUCCCAAGGAAUUUACCUGUGGUGGUUGAAUGAACCAGUGGAUGGUUCUGGAAUCGUGAGAAUGUACUGGUGAUGAUGCUGACUCUUUCUCAUGUUUCAAUUUGUUUCUCUGACAUCUGGAAUUUUCUUCUUUGGUUGGAAAGUACAUUUAAAGAAGGAAACAGCCAGCAAUUGGUAACUGUGACUCCACUCUCUUAAUAUUGCUUCUUGAAUUUUUGUGUGGUUUAUUUUCCGUUGAAUGUCUUAUAUAACAAGCAUCAUUUUAAAUUAUAGUGAAAAAGGUUUUACAAGCUUAGGACAAACUGGUAUUGUUUUCAGGUAGGUAUGUGUAUUAUGAGAACCCCAUACAGAUCUUGGCUCAUUUGGUAUCCUUAUACCUCAUGCUUUAACUGUCAAUAUUUGCUGUUUGGUUGCAAGUAAAUAAUUUCUUAUCUUACUGUUGUAUUGCUGUAUGAGCAUUUAUCUGUGCAUGCUUUUAAUCUCGCAAAGAGGGUAGUGGGUGCUAUAAUGUAGAAAAUUACAAACUGGAGGUCAUGACUCUUUAUUAGUUAUAAAGAUUUCUUGAUGGUUUUGGCUGGAAGUAGAGAGUAAUAUUAGCUGGAUUUUUCUGUGUUGACUACUUUAAGUGUGGUAGUUGUUCACUGGUAGUAAUAAUGUUAUGGGAAUGCUCAGCUUGUGAAGUAUAAAGCUUUAUUGUUGCCUUAUUAAUAGACAUAAGAGUCAUUAUAUAUGAAAGUCGUAAUAACAGAAGAUGUCUUGGAUGGAUGUUGUAUUUAUUGGUGAUUCAAAGAAGUUAUUAGUAUCUUUUUGGGAAUUGAGUUAUAGUAGUUGCUCUAUUACUAGUAAUUUGUGAUUAUAAGUUUCCAUUAUGUAUUUUAAGAAAGAAUAAUCAAUCAAGGUUUGGAUAGAUUGCAACUUGUGUGUUUUGCCUAGAUAAGUUUCUCUCAUGUAAUUAUAUCAAUAAUUUUAGUUGUCUUCUUGGGACAACUUGUUUGGUAUAUAUAGAAAGAUUUCUAGAAAUGUUGAGGACAUAUCUGUUGUUUGUCCUUAGCAUUUUCAAUGUUCUCUCUUCUCUGUGGGUGUACUUCAGAAGCAGCACAAAGAGGGUAUGUAUUUGUGCUAAAUAAAGGUUAUUGACAGGCUUGAUGAUGUCCUAUGUUUUAUGUUAAUGGGUUACAAAGAGUAAAGUCCCUUUCUUUUAUGUUGAUUAUUCAAGUGAGAUUGGCAUGCUGUUAUGCUGUUAAGUCAUGCUAGUUGAGUUUGUCUUUCUCCCUACUUGAGUUUCGUGUUUUGCUCGGAUUCUAUCCUUAUUCGAUUGUGUAUUUAUAUGAGUAAUUGUUUUGCAGCUGAGACAAUUUUCAGCGCUAGAUUAAAGGAAUGAUUAAUAUGAAACAAUUGGUAUAGCAAAGGUGGGCAUGCUCCAGGAUGGCAAGAUGUGCAGCCUCAUGAUCCUCAAGUUCAAGAUGCAGCCAACCAUGUUGUGAAGAGCCUUCAACAAAAGUCCAAUUCAUUGUUCCCUUAUGAGCUUCAAGAGAUUGUCCAUGCUAAGGCAGAGGCUAUGGAUUCAUUUGAGCCCUAUGGAAAUGAAACAAAUGGAGAGAAUGGCGCAAAUGUAGAAAAUGUCGCAAAUGGAGAAAAGAGGGCAGAGCAUGCAUUGCCACCCCCACCCCCUGUUAUCCCACCAGAUGUUGUUCCAUUGCGUGCUCAAGUAGAUAUUACACCUGAACCUUUAAAGGAGAAGAUUGUGCGCCUACCAAUUGCUAGGCUAGGCCUUGGAACAAAAGGGCAAAAGAUUCCUCUGCUGACUAAUAGAUUUAAAUGUCUUACUAUUUGAACAUAUAUAGGCAACAGCUAUAAAUCUUGUGGGGUGAGGAUGCAUUCAAAGAUGGGCAUACAAUCAGCUUCUACAUAGAGCCUAAAGUAUUUAGUUUACUCAUUUGAUGGUUUACAAUGUUUGUAUUUGAUGAACUACUGUUCAUUUCGUAAAUGGACCAAAGGAAUGCACAAUCUAAUUCCAGAA